CCCACUCUUCCAUUCCACAGACCUCAAAACCCUAGACUCCCCAACCGCAGCCGAAACCACACUCCGAGUCUCCAUCAAUUUUAUUCUCUUAAGUGCUGCUGAGGUAACCUAAGCCUAUGUAUGAAACCAAGAAGGGGAAUGCGGAGAUGAAAUCAUAAAGGUUUUGGUUUUAGAAAGUGUCGAGGCUUCAAGGCGUUUAGGUGUGAAAGCUGAGUUGCAAGACGAGAGCUUUAUGCAUGUGAGACGUUACUAUAUGUAUCACCAAAAGCUCUAUUUCUCAAUGCUUUUGAACAUCACCUUUUUUGAUGAAGUAAACGUUCAUAAUCUAUUCAUCCUUUCGACCCGACUUUGACCCAUAUGUGCAUUUAGCUCCGCCUUAAGGCCUCAAGAUAAUUUUCUGAACUUGGUUUUUGAAAACCAAGAUAGAGCUAGAAAAUGGACCUGUAGACCCUGUGUGUUUGUUCAUCGCUCAUGUAUGAACUUGUGGAGCCUUGUACAAUGCAUAACUUGUCACACGUGUUGAAGCUAGUGACUUGACUUGGGUUGCAUGAUGAGACAUUGAUGUGAAACUUGAAGGUGAAAAUAUCGUUAAGGCCAGGGGGUGUGACGAAACAAUGGAACAUGCAUUCAAUUCUUGUUUUGUGGCGCCGGUUAUUUGGAGGUAAGCACAUGGUGUAAAUUACAUCCCAUAUUUGCUUUCUCGAUUAAGGACUGAUUCGGCCUACAUGAGCAUGCAUCGGACAAGCCUUUCAAAAGAAAAUGUGUUCAUGUUGCUAUUAUGACUACAAUGUGGAGCUUAUGGCAUGCUAGAAACAACCUAAUUUUCUCUAAUGUCCCAGUGAAGAUUCAUGAUAUCGUGGGAGAGAUUAGAGAUCAGCAAUCAGCUUUUUGUGUCGCUCUAAGUCGGCUUGUUUAGAUUGAUUUAAAUGGAAGUCGUUUGAUGUAUAAUCGUCUUAUAUUUCAGUUAUUCAUAACCAAAUGUAAAACUAUAGGAUGGAAAAACUAACCAAAAGAGCGAACAACACUGAAAAACGUCAACCUCGCCGUAACGCGUGGGUCUCCUGUAAAUCCAUCAUAAAUGGUAUAAUUAAGUAAAAACUUGUGUAGACAUGUUAUACGUCAUUUGUUAUAUAUUUCUUUUCAAACCUAAAUUUUA
rnacentral:lncRNA from 1 species